UUGAAGUUCAGGUAACACUGAAUGGAGGACCGAACCGACUUACGUUGAAAAGUGAGCGGAUGAACUGAGGGUAGCGGAGAAAUUCCAAUCGAACCUGGAGAUAGCUGGUUCUCUCCGAAAUAGCUUUAGGGCUAGCCUCAAGUGAUGAUUAUUGGAGGUAGAGCACUGUUUGGACGAGGGGCCCCUCUCGGGUUACCGAAUUCAGACAAACUCCGAAUGCCAAUUAAUUUAACUUGGGAGUCAGAACAUGGGUGAUAAGGUCCGUGUUCGAAAGGGAAACAGCCCAGACCACCAGCUAAGGUCCCAAAAUAUAUGUUAAGUGGAAAAGGAUGUGGCGUUGCCCAGACAACUAGGAUGUUGGCUUAGAAGCAGCCAUCAUUUAAAGAGUGCGUAAUAGCUCACUAGUCGAGUGACACUGCGCCGAAAAUGUACCGGGGCUAAACAUAUUACCGAAGCUGUGGAUUGUCCUUUGGACAAUGGUAGGAGAGCGUUCUAAGGGCGUUGAAGCAUGAUCGUAAGGACAUGUGGAGCGCUUAGAAGUGAGAAUGCCGGUGUGAGUAGCGAAAGACGGGUGAGAAUCCCGUCCACCGAUUGACUAAGGUUUCCAGAGGAAGGCUCGUCCGCUCUGGG
rnacentral:rRNA from 1 species